rnacentral:rRNA from 1 species
AGUGAACGCUGGCGGUAGGCCUAACACAUGCAAGUCGAACGGCAGCACAGUAAGAGCUUGCUCUUACGGGUGGCGAGUGGCGGACGGGUGAGGAAUACAUCGGAAUCUACUUUUUCGUUGGGUAUAACGUAGGGAAAUUUACGCUAAUACCGCAUACGACCUACUGGUGAAAGCAGGGGAUCUUCUGACCUUUCGCUAUUGAAUGAGCCGAUGUCGGAUUAGCUAGUUGGCGGGGUAAAGGCCCACCAAGGCGACGAUCCGUAGCUGGUCUGAAAGGAUGAACAGACACACUGGAACUGAGACACGGUCAAGACUCCUACGGGAGGCAGCAGUGGGGAAUAUUGGACAAAGGGCGCAAGCAUGAUCAAGCCAUACCGCGUGAGUGAAGAAGGCCUUCGGGUUGUAAAGCCCUUUUGUUGGGAAAGAAAAGCAGCAGGUUAAUAACCCGCUGUUAUGACGGUACCCAAAGAAUAAGCACCGGCUAACUUAGUG